rnacentral:rRNA from 1 species
GUCCUAGCCGUAAACGAUGGGUGCUAGGUAGUGGUCGUUCCUAUGCGGUCACUGCUGGAGCAAAUGUCUUAAGCACCCCGCCUGGGAAGUACGGUCGCAAGACUAAAACUCAAAGGAAUUGACGGGGGCUCACACAAGCGGUGGAGCAUGUUGCUUAAUUCGAAGCAACGCGAAGAACCUCACCCGGGUUUGACAUGGUCGUAGUAUCUGCCGGAAACGGCGUGAGAUCCCCUCCCGGGGAAGCGACCACAGGUGUUGCAUGGCUGUCGU